rnacentral:lncRNA from 1 species
ACAAUAUUAAAUAAAAUAUAAGUAACAUAAAUGGCAGAAAUAGAUAAAUAGAAUAUACACAAAAAUUAUGCAUUAUGAAUAAAAAGCAUAAAAUGUAUCAAAAAUGAAUGUACGUAACAGUAAGUAAGUGGCUAAAUAAUACCAGAAAUCAGAGUGCUGAUAGAUUGAAAUUCAGAACUCAGAAGUUUAUGGUCUGUAAAUCCAUCUUACUGCCAUGGCAACAGAAACACAAACACACAGACACACUUAAUGGACACACACACUCACACACAACAGACACAUAAACACAUAGCAACAGGUACUACACACAAAGAGUUUUUUAGCGAAGUCUUAGGUUGCUGGGAGAUGGUUCUGUGGAGCUGCUGAAUGGGACGAGAGCGUAUGUCAGGGUCACACAGGAAGAGCAAUCAUGAAUGGGCUGUCCCUUCUGAGUCGGGGUUGUGGUCAUGUGGAGGAACAACAUGGCCGCCUGGAGGUCUGUUUCACACCGCAGGAUUACUACAUCUGGAGGUCGCAGCAGUCUCUGCUCCGGCUGACCAAUAACAGCAGCCGUCUGCUGCAGGGGGGCGCGGCCACAGCUGCUAAAACCUAUAGCACCCGCAGAGGACCCCUGCUGAUCUACACACAGGACUACUCCUUCUCCUGCAGAGUGGAUCCUUCGCGCCUUCCUCCUCUUAACCUUCCUCCAGUUCCAGACCUCCGGCACACCCCCCUCCCCCCUCUCUGGAGGGUCCCCUCCCCGCUGCCCUGGCUCCAACCCAUCGCCAGGACAAUGGCCCCGAGGCUAACCUCGAGGCUGCAACCCAGGAGAUGGGGCGGGUCCGUGUUGAGGAUCCAGAGAUUCAGCUGGACGCCCCUGGACCCAAAUGCUCCCAGACCCAGACUUCACUACUAUAGCGUCCUCCAGAGCAGCAGGGUCUCCAGGAGCAGGGCCCCCCCCGACCAGCCUCCGUCCUGGGUGUACGAUAGGACACGACCCCCUGAAGAACAAGGAGGAGCCCAGGUGAAACCAGACACAUGAUGUAACUUUCAGAGAGCACUCCAGGGUAUGUUGUGAUAGUCCAGUGUUGUACAGCCAGGCAGCAGAGAGCAGAAACACCUGCCAGAGCCCCCCAGAG